GAUGAACGCUGGCGGCGUGCCUAAUACAUGCAAGUCGAGCGAACAGACGAUGAGCUUGCUCCUCUGACGUUACCGGCGGACGGGUGAGUAACACGUGGAUAACCUACCUCUAAGACUUGGAUAACUUCGGGAAACCGGAGCUAAUACCGGAUGAUAUUUUGAGCCGCAUGGUUGAAUAGUGAAAUACGGUUUUGCUGUCACUGCUAGCUGGAUACGCGCUGCAUUAGUAAGUUGGUAACGUAACGGCUUCCCAAGGCAACGAUGAGUAGCCGACCCGGGAGGGUGUUGGCGCACUCUGGGACUGAGACACGGCCCAGACUCCUACGGAAGGCAGCAGUAGGGAAUGUUGGGCAAUGGGCGAAAGCCUGACGGAGCAACGCCGCGUGAGUGAUGAAGGUCUUCGGAUCGUAAAACGCUGUUAUGAGGGAAGAACACAUGUGUAAGUAACUAUGCACGUCUUGACGGUACCUAGUCAGAAAGCCACGGCUAACUACGUG
rnacentral:rRNA from 1 species